UACGUAGGCAGCAAGCGUUGUUCGGAAUUACUGGGCGUAAAGAGUGUGUAGGCGGUGCUCCAAGUCUGGUGUGAAAUCCCUCGGCUUAACCGAGGAACUGCCGUCCAAACUGCUUCGCUUGAGACCGGGAGAGGUGAGUGGAAUUCCCAGUGUAGCGGUGAAAUGCGUAGAUAUUGGGAGGAACACCAGUGGCGAAGGCGGCUCACUGGACCGGUACUGACGCUGAGGCGCGAAAGCGUGGGGAGCAAACGGG
rnacentral:rRNA from 1 species